rnacentral:rRNA from 1 species
GAUGAACGCUGGCGGCGUGCUUAACACAUGCAAGUCGAACGGAAAGGCCUCUGCUUGCAGGGGUACUCGAGUGGCGAACGGGUGAGUAACACGUGGGUGAUCUGCCCUGCACUUCGGGAUAAGCCUGGGAAACUGGGUCUAAUACCGGAUAGGACAAUGGUUUCGAUGCCGUUGUGGAAAGUUUUUCGGUGUGGGAUGAGCUCGCGGCCUAUCAGCUUGUUGGUGGGGUAAUGGCUUACCAAGGCGUCGACGGGUAGCCGGCCUGAGAGGGUGUACGGCCACAAUGGGACUGAGAUACGGCCCAGACUCCUACGGGAGGCAGCAGUGGGGAAUAUUGCACAAUGGGCGCAAGCCUGAUGCAGCGACGCCGCGUGGGGGAUGACGGCCUUCGGGUUGUAAACUCCUUUCGCUAGGGACGAAGCGCAAGUGACGGUACCUGGAGAAGAAGCACCGGCUAACUACGUG